CUUCUACCAAAAACAUUGAAAAUUAAUGAAAGAUAAUUUCUCCAAGCUUUUCAGUGAUUUAUUCAUGGGGAUUGCAGAUAUUUCUAGACUAAACUAUACUUACAUCACCCUCCUUCCAAAGAAAGCUGAUUAGCCUUCGGUCAAGAAAUUUAGACCAAUCAACUUAGAGAACGAAGUCAUCAAGAUAAUUUCUAAACUUCUUUCGAUUAGAUUAAGUAGGGUUAUUGACAAAUUGAUAGGCAAUUCACAAUCUGCAUUUGUCCAAGGAACGAAUAUUGCCG
rnacentral:lncRNA from 1 species